rnacentral:rRNA from 1 species
AUACGGAGGGUGCAAGCGUUAUCCGGAUUUAUUGGGUUUAAAGGGUGCGCAGGCGGACCUGUCAGUCAGUGGUGAAAUCCCGGGGCUCAACCCCGGAACUGCCAUUGAUACUACAGGUCUUGAAUACGGUUGAAGUAGGCGGAAUGUAGCAUGUAGCGGUGAAAUGCAUAGAUAUGCUACAGAACACCGAUCGCGAAGGCAGCUUACUAAGCCGAUAUUGACGCUCAGGCACGAAAGCGUGGGGAGCGAACAGGAUUAGAUACCCCAGUAGUCC